rnacentral:rRNA from 1 species
GACGAACGCUGGCGGCGUGCUUAACACAUGCAAGUCGAACGGUAAGGCCCUUUCGGGGGUACACGAGUGGCGAACGGGUGAGUAACACGUGGGUAAUCUGCCCUGCACUUCGGGAUAAGCCUGGGAAACCGGGUCUAAUACCGGAUAUGAAUCCCGGCCGCAUGGUCUGGGGUUGGAAAGUUUUUCGGUGCAGGAUGAGCCCGCGGCCUAUCAGCUUGUUGGUGGGGUAAUGGCCUACCAAGGCGACGACGGGUAGCCGGCCUGAGAGGGUGAUCGGCCACACGGGGACUGAGACACGGCCCAGACUCCUACGGGAGGCAGCAGUGGGGAAUAUUGCACAAUGGGCGGAAGCCUGAUGCAGCGACGCCGCGUGGGGGAUGUCGGUCUUCGGAUUGUAAACCCCUUUCAGUAGGGACGAAGCGCAAGUGACGGUACCUGCAGAAGAAGCACCGGCCAACUACGUGCCAGCAGCCGCCGUAA